rnacentral:tRNA from 1 species
GUGGGCGUCUUCUAAUGGUUAGGAAAUCUCGUUGUGGCCCAGCACAAUCCCGUGAAAAUGUCGGUUCGAUUCCGGCCGCCCACA